rnacentral:rRNA from 4 species
AGAGUUUGAUCAUGGCUCAGAUUGAACGCUGGCGGCAGGCCUAACACAUGCAAGUCGAACGGUAACAGGAAGCAGCUUGCUGCUUUGCUGACGAGUGGCGGACGGGUGAGUAAUGUCUGGGAAACUGCCUGAUGGAGGGGGAUAACUACUGGAAACGGUAGCUAAUACCGCAUAACGUCGCAAGACCAAAGAGGGGGACCUUCGGGCCUCUUGCCAUCGGAUGUGCCCAGAUGGGAUUAGCUAGUAGGUGGGGUAACGGCUCACCUAGGCGACGAUCCCUAGCUGGUCUGAGAGGAUGACCAGCCACACUGGAACUGAGACACGGUCCAGACUCCUACGGGAGGCAGCAGUGGGGAAUAUUGCACAAUGGGCGCAAGCCUGAUGCAGCCAUGCCGCGUGUAUGAAGAAGGCCUUCGGGUUGUAAAGUACUUUCAGCGGGGAGGAAGGCGAUAAGGUUAAUAACCUUGUCGAUUGACGUUACCCGCAGAAGAAGCACCGGCUAACUCCGUGCCAGCAGCCGCGGUAAUACGGAGGGUGCAAGCGUUAAUCGGAAUUACUGGGCGUAAAGCGCACGCAGGCGGUCUGUCAAGUCGGAUGUGAAAUCCCCGGGCUCAACCUGGGAACUGCAUUCGAAACUGGCAGGCUAGAGUCUUGUAGAGGGGGGUAGAAUUCCAGGUGUAGCGGUGAAAUGCGUAGAGAUCUGGAGGAAUACCGGUGGCGAAGGCGGCCCCCUGGACAAAGACUGACGCUCAGGUGCGAAAGCGUGGGGAGCAAACAGGAUUAGAUACCCUGGUAGUCCACGCCGUAAACGAUGUCGACUUGGAGGUUGUGCCCUUGAGGCGUGGCUUCCGGAGCUAACGCGUUAAGUCGACCGCCUGGGGAGUACGGCCGCAAGGUUAAAACUCAAAUGAAUUGACGGGGGCCCGCACAAGCGGUGGAGCAUGUGGUUUAAUUCGAUGCAACGCGAAGAACCUUACCUACUCUUGACAUCCAGAGAACUUUCCAGAGAUGGAUUGGUGCCUUCGGGAACUCUGAGACAGGUGCUGCAUGGCUGUCGUCAGCUCGUGUUGUGAAAUGUUGGGUUAAGUCCCGCAACGAGCGCAACCCUUAUCCUUUGUUGCCAGCGGUCCGGCCGGGAACUCAAAGGAGACUGCCAGUGAUAAACUGGAGGAAGGUGGGGAUGACGUCAAGUCAUCAUGGCCCUUACGAGUAGGGCUACACACGUGCUACAAUGGCGCAUACAAAGAGAAGCGACCUCGCGAGAGCAAGCGGACCUCAUAAAGUGCGUCGUAGUCCGGAUUGGAGUCUGCAACUCGACUCCAUGAAGUCGGAAUCGCUAGUAAUCGUGGAUCAGAAUGCCACGGUGAAUACGUUCCCGGGCCUUGUACACACCGCCCGUCACACCAUGGGAGUGGGUUGCAAAAGAAGUAGGUAGCUUAACCUUCGGGAGGGCGCUUACCACUUUGUGAUUCAUGACUGGGGUGAAGUCGUAACAAGGUAACCGUAGGGGAACCUGCGGUUG